UACGUAGGGGGCUAGCGUUGUCCGGAAUCAUUGGGCGUAAAGAGCGUGUAGGCGGCCCGGUAAGUCCGCUGUAAAAGUCAAAGGCUCAACCUUUGAAUGUCAGUGGAUACUGCCGGGCUAGAGUCCGGAAGAGGCGAGUGGAACUCCUGGUGUAGCGGUGGAAUGCGCAGAUAUCAGGAGGGACACCAAUAGCGAAGGCAGCUCGCUGGGACGUGACUGACGCUGAGACGCGAAAGCGUGGGGAGCAAACCGG
rnacentral:rRNA from 1 species